CCCCCCAACCGCCAAAACACCACAAAACAUCCGCCACAACCCGGAAGACAACGAAGACGACGAGAGAACACACAGCCGUGACCUCAUUCUUCUCUACACAACCACGAAGUCAAAGGUCAACAGCAACUACAGCGAAAUUUUCCAGCUCCAAACCUCACCAAGAUCUUAUUACAUCGCUCAGGACCUCACCCCGGUCCGUGUUGCCGAUGACGUCACAGGACAAACAGACAUACCUGGACAGGACCAGGAAAGACACCAGUGCCGCGGGCACUCCUCACACGUGCACAUUUGACAGCGGCUACUGUGACUGGACACAGACUGAUCGGGACUCUGGUAGAAACAUGCAGUGGACCAGGGGUCAAGGAAUGACCGCGACCAGAAAGCUUGGGAGCUUAGAGACUGGCCCGAGAAAUGA